AAUGAACGCUGGCGGCGCGCCUAAUACAUGCAAGUCGAGCGAGAAGACGUAGCAAUACGUUUGUAAAGCGGCGAACGGGUGAGGAAUACAUGGGUAACCUACCCUCGAGUGGGGAAUAACUAGCCGAAAGGUUAGCUAAUACCGCGUACGCUUCUUGGACUUCGGUUCAGGGAGGAAAGCGAUGCCGAGGGUAUCGCGCUCUUGGAUGGGCUCAUGUCCUAUCAGCUUGGGUGAGGUAACGGCUCACCAAGGCUUCGACGGGUAGCUGGUCUGAGAGGACGAUCAGCCACACUGGCACUGCGACACGGGCCAGACUCCUACGGGAGGCAGCAGUAAGGAAUAUUGCGCAAUGGGCGAAAGCCUGACGCAGCGACGCCGCGUGGGGGAUGAA
rnacentral:rRNA from 1 species